GUCUGUCUGUCUGUCUGUCUGUCUGUCUGUUUUAAAAUGUAGUCCUUUUUUGCUAUUAUAGACAAAAUGUGGGCAUUAAUUGAAUGGACAGAAAUGGAAGCUUCUCUGAACACUGUAAGGAGAAAAGACAUUCUUCAAUCUGUAGUUCACAAGGGGGAUGUUGUUGAUGUCAAGUAUGAAGAUGAAAGCUCUCCUGCACUUAUUCUCAAGCUGAAUGAAAAUAAGCACAAGCUACUGAAACGUCUAAAUCAGAUGGAGUCAGAGAGAAGGCAAAAGAGGAGUGCAAGCCGCCUGAAAGAGAGCAAUAAAAAGGAAAAUAAUAUUUAGUCCAGAAAACAGCCCACCAUCAAGUCCAGAAGAGAUUUAAAACAGUUGAAAAAACAUAAAAUGACACGCUGUUGCUUAAAAAAAUAGAAGAAAAAACAAAGAAAAUGACACAAUACCUGUAAAUGACAUGAGAAAAGAAAUCAAAGCCUUGAGAGCAGAGAAUCAGCAACUAAAGGCCCUGAACUUUAAACUGCAAAAUGAGAUUAUUAACAGAAUUGGGGAGUUGCUGCCAGACAGCAGUGUAAACAAGCAUGCUGUGCCAACCUCCCUAACAAGUUCAGCUUGCUGUGCUACCCUUCAACCAGACAACUCUUCACAUAAUUCUUCUGAACUGGACCAUGUUGAAAUCCACAGAAAACGAAAGAAGGAUACAUUCCAAGUGUGGUGGUAGAGGGUGCACAUCAUGGUCAACCAUGAUCAAGGAUUUAGCCGUGGCUGUUUUUGGAAGGAGCAUGUUAGCUACCCGUAGCCUUUCUGCAAAAUUUUGAAAUGCCAACAAAGAAUCACAAGCCAAGCCUCCUUUGGACCCACACAAGUGGAACUUAUUAUAGACACUGUUCAGAAGAAAUUUCCAGCAACUACCCAAAAGCUUCUUCGGGCUGCUUUACGGGAAAAGAAAUAAUGAUAAUGACUAAUAAUGACUUCUUAGCAGGCAACAUAAGAAGGACACUGUUAAGCUGCAACACUGAGUGGACAUAAGAGAGUCCAGAGUAAUUGGUUUCUGCAGAAUGAUGGGCCACGUUCUGUUCAGAGUGUUCAUUUUCUUCCCACUUGUCUCAUCUUUCCAUGC